rnacentral:rRNA from 1 species
UUUUGGUGGUGGGAACAACAGCUAGGAAACGGCUGCUAAUACCGCAUGUGAUUGCGCGCUCAUGGCGCGUAAGGAAAGACGCUUCACGGCGUCGCCAUAAGAUGGGCCCGCCCCCCAUUAGCUAGUUGGUGAGAUAACAGCCCACCAAGGCUUCGAUGGGUAGCCGAGCUGAGAGGUUGAUCGGCCACACUGGAACUGAGAUACGGUCCAGACACCUACGGGUGGCAGCAGUAGGGAAUAUUGCGCAAUGGGCGAAAGCCUGACGCAGCGAUGCCGCGUGAGUGAAGAAGGCCCUAGGGUCGUAAAGCUCUUUUCUGAGGGAAGAAUGGUCCGGGUAGGAAAUGAUCUGGAUUUGACGGUACCUCAGGAAUAAGGAACGGCUAACUCCGUG